rnacentral:rRNA from 1 species
CAGGACUUGACAUGGAGUCGUCGCGUGCAGAGAUGCACGUUCCCGCAAGGGCGGCUCGCACAGGUGCUGCAUGGCUGUCGUCAGCUCGUGUCGUGAGAUGUUGGGUUAAGUCCCGCAACGAGCGCAACCCUCGCCUUUAGUUGCCAUCAGGUUUGGCUGGGCACUCUAAAGGAACUGCCGGUGACAAGCCGGAGGAAGGUGGGGAUGACGUCAAGUCCUCAUGGCCCUUAUGUCCUGGGCUACACACGUGCUACAAUGGCGGUGACAGUGGGAAGCUAGGUCGCGAGGCCAUGCUGAUCUCUAAAAGCCGUCUCAGUUCGGAUUGCACUCUGCAACUCGAGUGCAUGAAGGUGGAAUCGCUAGUAAUCGCGGAUCAGCAUGCCGCGGUGAAUACGUUCCC